ACUCCAAACAGCGGAGUUUAAGCAAGAAAGAUCUAUAUUUUUGUUUCUCAGAAAAGAAGCCCAAAUGUAAGCAAACUUGAGCUGACAUAAAGGCCACACGCACCGUCAGUGAAGGGAAAGCGAGGAAUAAGAGACGAGUAGAUGAGAAAUGAAAGACGGAGAGCAGGCAGGGACACACAGGAGAGUUUGUCUGUCCGAUAAAGGCCGCCUCUCUACAGGAGAGAGGGCAGCACGGGCUUGGGUUCUGGCACUUUCAUGGGACAGGCUCAGGAAUCAGAGCCAGGCGGGUCCUAACGCGGGUGGCUAGGGCUGGGUUGGCAUGAGGGAGUGGUGAGCCUUUCUCAGAAAUGCCCUCGGGCAGGAAAGUGACACUUUUUCCUUAAAAUAGUGGCUGUCACUUAAGAUGGCCGUCCAGAUGCUAAGCAAGGACCUUAUAUUCCCCCCUUUUUUGUUUUUUAUUGGGUCCUUUAGGGACAGGUCACUCUACUGUAACUGCUUCCUGCUGGGAAGGGGUGGCAUUUGAGUCCCUCAUUAGAGGCCCGGGAUGUCACUGGAAUGAUG
rnacentral:lncRNA from 1 species